AGAUCUAGUUUGGUGUCCGGUAGCGUGACCAGCCGGAGGUGUACCACGUUUGCUUUAUCCCCUGCAUGAUUAUACAAAUAGCGAAUAUAUUUCGGUGAGAUAUAGCACUGAAUUUAACGGGUAGCCAUAUAACUUGUUAGGAGGACUAUUGCAGCGUGUGUAUGCAGUUCUAGCCGUGCGUAAGGUGCUGAGAGAGUAUUGUGCACCUAGAAGACGGGCUGAGGGUCAGUUGACGACUGUUAUAAGCGUUUGAGGUCAGUGGGGAGCGUUGGAUUGAGGGCAGUCGUGUCAUGCCCGAUCGUCGAUGCAGACCAGGAACCGAUGUUGGUAGGAUAACCGCAGUUGGAGGCGAUAGACCCGGGGCUACGGUUAAAGCAACUACCACGUGGUGACGAGAGAACGGUACAGGACUUAGACGUUCCUAGAUGAGUGCUAAUGGCGGAUGCACGUGUGGUGUGACUUCCGGUGAACGUUUAUAAGCAGUUGUGAUUUAGUAACUAUUGAGUAACUUUCAGCCGUUUAAGAAAAGGAAAUUAUCUUUUUGAAGUAUAUAUAAUUAUUAACUAAUAUUAUUUGAGUUUUUCGGAAUAUUAUUUAAGUCAAUUUUGGUGAAUUUUUCAUUUGAUAUAAUAUCUGAUACUUACUGAAUCAGAAUUGUAGAAGUUAAUAUUGAAUUAAUGUAAAGUAUCGGAAUUGGUGAAAACUGAGUUAACACUUUACUAUUACAUUUAUUUCAUUUUCGGUGUGUGAGCCUGUAUGCGAGAGUGAAUGAAUGACAUAGAAUUUAUUUGUUUUCUAUUUUAUUUAUUUUGUGUUAAUAAAUUUAUUUGUUUAUUCUGA